rnacentral:rRNA from 1 species
GACGAACGCUGGCGGCGUGCUUAACACAUGCAAGUCGAACGGAAAGGCCCCCAUCUUGGUGGGGGUGCUCGAGUGGCGAACGGGUGAGUAACACGUGGGUGAUCUGCCCUGUACUUCGGGAUAAGCUUGGGAAACUGGGUCUAAUACCGGAUAGGACCAUGGUUUAGUGUCUCAUGGUGGAAAGAUUAUUGUUUUGGUGCAGGAUGAGCUCGCGGCCUAUCAGCUUGUUGGUGGGGUAAUGGCCUACCAAGGCGUCGACGGGUAGCCGGCCUGAGAGGGUGGACGGCCAGAUUGGGACUGAGAGACGGCCCAGACUCCUACGGGAGGCAGCAGUGGGGAAUAUUGCACAGUGGGCGCAAGCCUGAUGCAGCGACGCCGCGUGGGGGAUGACGGCCUUCGGGUUGUAAACUCCUUUCGUUAGGGACGAAGCCGCACUUUUUUUGGGUGUGGUGACGGUACCUUUGUUAAGAAGCACCGGCUAACUACGUG